CGCCGACAGACACACCGACACGCCGACGGACACACCGACACGCCGACGGACUCACUGACUGACCGACCGCCGACGGCCGUGCCGGCCCCCGAGCGCGAUGCGGCGCCUCCGCAUUUGAAGUGAUUUAGAGCAAACAAGGGUGCAGCGAGAGCAGGAGACAACCCAGCACAAAACCUCUGCGGGAGCCCUGCGGCUCCGGCUCUUCCCUCCCGGUUCGAGGAUCCGGAGCACAGCAAAGCCUCUCCCAAAAGCAUCGCCCGGCCCUCGCUGGGGUCACUGCAGCGCCGAGGCCGCUUCUUCCCAGCGCCCCGCAGCCCCCGGGGUGAGUGGGGGGACUCUCCCCUGCUUUGCUGCCCAAAAUAUUCCGUCCUUGGGGUGGCUGAAAUGGGGAAUCAGAGCAGAGUGCUAUUUGUAAAUUUAAAAAAAAGCAAGGUGUACUUGAUUAGGAAAUUAAUUAUUUCAGUACCCCCAGGAUUAUAUUGUUUUUCUAAGUUGUGUGGGCCUGUGUAAUUCAGUAAUUUCACAGUGGCUGAACUUCCCUGGGAGUGAGAGUCAAUCUCCCCUCUCUGACACUCGGGUGGAUCCUGCGCGGAGCCAGCGGCUCCUCGGCAGCGUCGGAGGGAAAUGGGAGCCCAGACCUUUCCCUCUGCUCCUCACUGCCCUGCUGCGUGUCCCUGGCCAAAUUCCUCGUUUCUGCUCUUUCCUUCCCCCCAGGAGCAGCUCUCCCUGCUGAGGAAGGAGCAGCACACGGGCUGCUCUGCCCGACGCCCGUAGGGAAAAAGGGCUGCAGCAUCACACGUCCUUCCCAAGUGAGGAUUCUCAGCACAGAAGGGCUUUUGUCAUCAGCAGAAUAUAAGUUUUUGGUGCUGACAUCACUGUCACGCAGAAGGUUUGGGAAAAAUAACUGAAAUCCAAGCAAACAGGACUGUGGCAGAAAAAUGCAGAUGCAGGGGCAGAGCUGGGUUCAGCAUCACCUGGCUCAGGUACCACGGCACCAGCCUCCCCUCCCAGGUGCCAGCGAGUCCAGAGCUCCUGGCUGUGUUUGUAUCUGUCAGCUCAGUCCUGACUGAUCUUCUGUCUGCAGGUUCUGUCAUUUGUUACUCUAUUAGAUCAUAUCCUAUUUCUAUGAUUUUCUGUUUUAAAGGACCUGAGAGGCCAUGGAGGCUCUGGCCAGCCUCCCCUUCCCUCUCCCACACACCAGUCCAGGCAGCUGGGUUAGUGCAGCUGGAGCCCAGCAAACUCCUGGUGCCUCCACUCGCACAUUCAGAGCUGCUGUUUCCUUCCCCUCAGCCCUGAGCGAUGCUCCAAGCGUGGCUGAGGCACACACAGCUCAUCUCAGCACAGCCACAAUCCCAUUACCCCGAGAUGCAUCAGUGUGCCGUGUUCAGGAUGAGAACAAACCAAAUCAUUUUGGUCUAGAAUGUGAAAUUUUGCUAAUUUUUCCAGGGCUUGAGCUCCAUCCCCGUGGAUGUCCCACCCUGUGCCCCAGGGCAAGUCCCCACACAGGAGAGUCACACACACUUUAAAAAACAAAUAUUAUUCUAAAAAAAUCCAUUCUUGGCAUUUUGUGGCUGUCCACAACGUGUCACUGAGUUCUGGGGCCCAGGAGCUCCGUGCCAGCCCAGCCCCCGGGGUGCUCCUCUCCUCUCCUCUCUCUGAGCCAUCCACCCCCAAACCUGCAUCACUGUGAAGGCACCAGAGAUUUUCCCUUCCCAACAAGUAAACCUUAUUUCCCUAAACCCUGGUGGACAGAUUCAGUGAGUCCCUUCCUCCUGCCUGUGAAAUGUCACCAUUUUCACUGAGAACAAGCGGCUGCAGGAGCUGGGAGGUCUGUGCUGGUGAUGUUGCCUAUGGAUGAGAUGGGAAACUUGAGGCUCAGAAACUGUGAGUCUGCAGAAUCCCCUACCAAUGUGGCUCUUUCAGUCGUUGAAAUAAAAUCUACACAGCUGUAAUUAGUCAAUAUUUGUAAAGCCUCUAAGAUUGCAGAAUAAAUGGCUGCGAGAAGUCCACAUGGUUAUUAGAUAAAUGCAUUAAUAACAGCAGCGGUGGCUGGUGAGGAGAAGCUGCUCCUAAUGAUGCACAAUUUAUUUCCUUGAGGGUGUGCUAAUAAACAAAUCUGGUUUUUAGAA